GUUAAGCGUUAAUAAAUGUAAAUGAUUUUCCAAUUAAUAGAUGAUCGCUUCUAUGUAUGUGACUUUGGAAUUCAUGUUGGAGUUUUUAGAAAGUAAUGAUAUUGACCUUGUAUGCACAUGUAUAUGUGUUUGAAUGCAGAUGAUGAAUUGAGACAGCACAAAAAGGACUAUGUUUGCGCAGGUACUGAAGAUUAUGGAAUGGAUUAACUGCUAGCUUAAGAGAUUUAAAGCUGUGUAGUUAGGAUUUUAGUACUUGUACUCAUAGAUGUUUGUACUAUUUGCUUGUAAUAUGUUUAGACAUUUACUUGUAAUUAAUAAGUUCCAUGCAUGCUUUAGUGUCACAUGUGACAUAUGUUUCUUUGUAAUUAGUGUAAAGACUUUUAAUGUAUUUUCUAGAAGAUGUCAGUUAAAGCUCUG